GGUAAUGUGGCCGAGGAAUAGGCGGCGGNCUGUAAAGCCGCCCACAGGGAAAACCCUCAUUAC
rnacentral:tRNA from 1 species